rnacentral:rRNA from 1 species
GACGUAGGGGGCAAGCGUUGUCCGGAAUCAUUGGGCGUAAAGCGCUCGUAGGCGGACCUUUAAGUCGGUGAAGAAAGACCUGGGCUCAACUCAGGGAACGGCAUCGAUACUAUUGGUCUUGAGGUAAUUAGAGGAUGAUGGAAUUCCCGGUGUAGCGGUGAAAUGCGUAGAUAUCUGGAGGAACACCGGUGGCGAAGGCGGCAUCCUGGACCGGCAUUGACGCUGAGGCGCGAAAGCUAGGGGAGCAAACGGG